GACCUAGGGUGCAAACGUUGUUCGGAAUUACUGGGCGUAAAGCGCACGUAGGCGGAUGUGUCAGUCCGGGGUGAAAUCCCGGAGCUCAACUUCGGAACUGCCCUUGAUACAGCACGUCUUGAGUCCGAGAGAGGUGGAUGGAAUUCCUAGUGUAGAGGUGAAAUUCGUAGAUAUUAGGAAGAACACCGGUGGCGAAAGCGCUCUGCUGGACCUUAACUGACACUGAGGGACGAAAGCUAGGGGAGCGAAUGGG
rnacentral:rRNA from 1 species